rnacentral:tRNA from 2 species
GCCCCCGUAACUCAGGGGAUAGAGUGCCGACCUCCUAAGUCGGAAGCGCAGGUUCGAAUCCUGCCGGGGGCACCG